GUUUCUUGUUAUCAUCAAGAAUUAAAUCUUUCAAGUAAUAAUAAUAACUUCAAGUUACUAGUAAUUGAAAUUGAUGGUUUUGAGUGUGGUGGAGGUGUGAGGGCCAAAAAUUAGAAGAAAGAAAAGAAGAAAAGCUAGUUUUUAUUCAUCUUCUCAUCGUGUUAUUAAUCGUUGAGGUAUGGUGUGAUUGAUUGUUCAUUGAGAAACUAGGGUUCUUAGAAUCCAAUUGAUUUAGGGGUUUUUGGUUUAAGCAUAAAGAAGAAAAGAAGAGAAAGAAUUGAGUGUGUGAUUGCAUGACAUCAUCUAGUUAAUUUUCAUCUCAAAUUGAAGGUUGAAAGCAAUAAUGUGUGUUCUUGUGGUCAUCAUGGGCUUGGUUAUUCGUCUUUAAGGUGGUUCCGGAAGAAGGAACUAGUGAUUAGUUGAUUGGAGUUUUGGACUUGAAGUUGCUAGUAGGUUGAAGGUAUUAUGACCAUUUGCGGAAGAUGGUAUUUUGAUAGAAACCUAGUCAUCCCACCUCGUUCAUGGCUCUUGAUACAUUUGUUUGGUGGUAAAGUUGUUCUUGGUACAUUUGGUCAUCUUGGUAAAGUUUUGUUUGGUACAUUUCUACAAAAUCGAAGUAUGUAUGGUCUUAUGGUUAUAAACAUGUUUUGUUGACUCAAAAAGCGUCAAAAUGGGUAAACGACCCAUUUGGUUGUGUAUGCGGAAGUUGGUUAAAAUGGAUAUUAUGGCUAUGUUUGCAAAUGUGUCAAAUACUUAUUUGAACUCAGAAAUGUUGUGUUAUGAAGUUUAGAUUUGAAUUGGAAAAGUUACAAGAUGAGUUAAGUGUCAAAAUUGAGUUUAUUUCUGUCAGGUAUAAUUA